AAGACUAUAGACCUGCGGAGUACCUGCGGAAGGAUCAUUACAGAGAACUUGCCCGUCUGGGUAGAUCUCCCACCCUUUGUUUACUAUACCUUUGUUGCUUUGGCAAGCCUGUCUUGUGACUACUGGCCUCCAGCUAGUAAGUGCUUGCCAGAGGACCCCAAACACUUUACAUUGUGUUGUCUGAGUAGUACAGAAAUUUUUAAAACUUUCAACAAUGGAUCUCUAGAUCGGAAGAGCACA
rnacentral:misc_RNA from 1 species